GGCAAACGGGUGAGUAACGCGUGGGAAACCUGCCCUUGUGUUGGGGAUAACACUUCCAACGAGGUGCUAAUACCGAAUGUGAUCGUUGAAUCGCAUGGUUUGACGAUGAAAGGCGGCCUCUGCUUGCAAGCUGUCGCACAAGGAUGGUCCCGCGUCCCAUUAGCUAGUUGGUGAGGUAAUGGCCCACCAAGGCUAUGAUGGGUAGCCGGCCUUAGCGGGUGUCCGGCCACACUGGGACUGAGAUACGGCCCAGACUCCUACGGGAGGCAGCAGUCGAGAGGCUUCUACAAUGGGGGAAACCCUGAUAGAGCGACGCCGCGUGGGUGAUGAAGGUCUUCGGAUCGUAAAGCCCUUUCAGCAGGGAAGAACGGAUUGGUGCUAAUAUCACCGUAUCCAUGACGGUACCUGCAGAAGAAGCUCCGGCUAACUCCGUGCCAGCAGCCGCGGUAAGACGGAGGGAGCAAGCGUUGUUCGGAUUUACUGGGCGUAAAGGGCGUCUAGGCGGGUUGGUCAGUCAGGUGUGAAACCCCCCGGCUCAACCGGGGAUCUGCACUUGAUACUGCCGAUCUUGAGUACGGAAGAGGAAAGCGGAAUUCCUGGUGUAGCGGUGAAAUGCGUAGAUAUCAGGAAGAACACCGGUGGCGAAGGCGGCUUUCUGGUCCGAUACUGACGCUAAAGCGCGAAAGUGUGGGGAGCAAACAGGAUUAGAUACCCUGGUAGUCCACAC
rnacentral:rRNA from 1 species